rnacentral:rRNA from 1 species
UACGGAGGGUGCAAGCGUUAUCCGGAUUCACUGGGUUUAAAGGGUGCGUAGGUGGGCAGUUAAGUCAGUGGUGAAAUCUCCGGGCUUAACCCGGAAACUGCCAUUGAUACUAUCUGUCUUGAAUGUCGUGGAGGUAAGCGGAAUAUGUCAUGUAGCGGUGAAAUGCUUAGAUAUGACAUAGAACACCAAUUGCGAAGGCAGCUUACUUCACGAUCAUUGACACUGAGGCACGAAAGCGUGGGGAGCAAACAGG